rfam:Aedes albopictus isolate Foshan contig22115, whole genome shotgun sequence.
UGUUCUGUGGCUUAUUUGGUUAAAGCGCCACUUUAGCGAAUACGGAGUCGUGGGUUCGAAUCCCAUCAGAACGC